GAUGAACGCUGGCGGCGUGCUUAACACAUGCAAGUCGAACGGUGAAGCAGAGCUUGCUCUGUGGAUCAGUGGCGAACGGGUGAGUAACACGUGAGCAACCUGCCCCCGACUCUGGGAUAAGCGCUGGAAACGGCGUCUAAUACUGGAUAUGAGCUGCGACCGCAUGGUCAGCAGUUGGAAAGAUUUUUCGGUCUGGGAUGGGCUCACGGCCUAUCAGCUUGUUGGUGAGGUAAUGGCUCACCAAGGCGUCGACGGGUAGCCGGCCUGAGAGGGUGACCGGCCACACUGGGACUGAGACACGGCCCAGACUCCUACGGGUGGCAGCAGUGGGGAAUAUUGCACAAUGGGCGAAAGCCUGAUGCAGCAACGCCGCGUGAGGGAUGACGGCCUUCGGGUUGUAAACCUCUUUUAGCAGGGAAGAAGCGAAAGUGACGGUACCUGCAGAAAAAGCGCCGGCUAACUACGUG
rnacentral:rRNA from 1 species